CUCUGUGACUCCUACGGGAGGCAGCAGUGGGGAAUAUUGCACAAUGGGGGAAACCCUGAUGCAGCCAUGCCGCGUGUGUGAAGAAGGCCUUCGGGUUGUAAAGCACUUUCAGUAGGGAGGAAGGUAGUGUAGUUAACACCUGCAUUAUUUGACGUUACCUACAGAAGAAGCACCGGCUAACUCCGUGCCAGCAGCCGCGGUAAUACGGAGGGUGCGAGCGUUAAUCGGAAUUACUGGGCGUAAAGCGCAUGCAGGCGGCCUGUUAAGUCAGAUGUGAAAGCCCGGGGCUUAACCUCGGAAUUGCAUUUGAAACUGGCAGGCUAGAGUCUUGUAGAGGGGGUAGAAUUUCAGGUGUAGCGGUGAAAUGCGUAGAGAUCUGAAGGAAUACCAGUGGCGAAGGCGGCCCCCUGGACAAAGACUGACGCUCAGAUGCGAAAGCGUGGGGAGCAAACAGGAUUAGAUACCCUGGUGG
rnacentral:rRNA from 1 species